GGGGAAUUUUGGACAAUGGGCGCAAGCCUGAUCCAGCAAUGCCGCGUGCAGGAUGAAGGCCUUCGGGUUGUAAACUGCUUUUGUACGGAACGAAAAGCCUCUCUCUAAUACAGGGGGGUGAUGACGGUACCGUAAGAAUAAGCACCGGCUAACUACGUGCCAGCAGCCGCGGUAAUACGUAGGGUGCAAGCGUUAAUCGGAAUUACUGGGCGUAAAGCGCGCGUAGGUGGUUUGGUAAGAUGGAUGUGAAAUCCCCGGGCUCAACCUGGGAACUGCAUCCAUAACUGCCUGACUAGAGUACGGUAGAGGGUGGUGGAAUUCCACGUGUAGCAGUGAAAUGCGUAGAGAUGUGGAGGAACACCAAUGGCGAAGGCAGCCCCCUGGGUCGAUACUGACGCUCAUGCACGAAAGCGUGGGGAGCAAACA
rnacentral:rRNA from 1 species